UACGAACUGUGCAAACGUUAUUCGGAAUCACUGGGCUUACAGGGUGCGUAGGCGGCCUGUCAAGUAGGGUGUGAAAGCCCCCGGCUCAACCGGGGAAUGGCGCCCUAAACUGUCGGGCUGGAGUGAGAUAGGGGUGUGCGGAACUUCCGGUGGAGCGGUGAAAUGUGUUGAUAUCGGAAGGAACGCCGGUGGCGAAAGCGGCACACUGGAUCUCAACUGACGCUGAGGCACGAAAGCCAGGGGAGCGAACGGG
rnacentral:rRNA from 1 species